AUGAACGCUAGCUACAGGCUUAACACAUGCAAGUCGAGGGGCAGCAUGGUCUUAGCUUGCUAAGGCCGAUGGCGACCGGCGCACGGGUGAGUAACACGUAUCCAACCUGCCGUCUACUCUUGGACAGCCUUCUGAAAGGAAGAUUAAUACAAGAUGGCAUCAUGAGUCCGCAUGUUCACAUGAUUAAAGGUAUUCCGGUAGACGAUGGGGAUGCGUUCCAUUAGAUAGUAGGCGGGGUAACGGCCCACCUAGUCUUCGAUGGAUAGGGGUUCUGAGAGGAAGGUCCCCCACAUUGGAACUGAGACACGGUCCAAACUCCUACGGGAGGCAGCAGUGAGGAAUAUUGGUCAAUGGGCGAGAGCCUGAACCAGCCAAGUAGCGUGAAGGAUGACUGCCCUAUGGGUUGUAAACUUCUUUUAUAAAGGAAUAAAGUCGGGUAUGGAUACCCGUUUGCAUGUACUUUAUGAAUAAGGAUCGGCUAACUCCGUGCCAGCAGCCGCGGUAAUACGGAGGAUCCGAGCGUUAUCCGGAUUUAUUGGGUUUAAAGGGAGCGUAGAUGGAUGUUUAAGUCAGUUGUGAAAGUUUGCGGCUCAACCGUAAAAUUGCAGUUGAUACUGGAUAUCUUGAGUGCAGUUGAGGCAGGCGGAAUUCGUGGUGUAGCGGUGAAAUGCUUAGAUAUCACGAAGAACUCCGAUUGCGAAGGCAGCCUGCUAAGCUGCAACUGACAUUGAGGCUCGAAAGUGUGGGUAUCAAACAGGAUUAGAUACCCUGGUAGUCCACACGGUAAACGAUGAAUACUCGCUGUUUGCGAUAUACUGCAAGCGGCCAAGCGAAAGCGUUAAGUAUUCCACCUGGGGAGUACGCCGGCAACGGUGAAACUCAAAGGAAUUGACGGGGGCCCGCACAAGCAGUGGAGUAUGUGGUUUAAUUCGAAGCAACGCGAAGAACCUUACCAGGUCUCGACAUCGAGUGACGUACCUAGAGAUAGGUAUUUUCUUCGGAACACAAAGACAGGUGGUGCAUGGUUGUCGUCAGCUCGUGCCGUGAGGUGUCGGCUUAAGUGCCAUAACGAGCGCAACCCUUGUUGUCAGUUACUAACAGGUUCCGCUGAGGACUCUGACAAGACUGCCAUCGUAAGAUGUGAGGAAGGUGGGGAUGACGUCAAAUCAGCACGGCCCUUACGUCCGGGGCUACACACGUGUUACAAUGGGGGGUACAGAGGGCCGCUACCACGCGAGUGGAUGCCAAUCCCCAAAACCUCUCUCAGUUCGGACUGGAGUCUGCAACCCGACUCCACGAAGCUGGAUUCGCUAGUAAUCGCGCAUCAGCCACGGCGCGGUGAAUACGUUCCCGGGCCUUGUACACACCGCCCGUCAAGCCAUGGGAGCCGGGGGUACCUGAAGUGCGUAACCGCGAGGAGCGCCCUAGGGUAAAACUGGUGACUGGGGCU
rnacentral:rRNA from 1 species